CGUAGGGUGCGAGCGUUAAUCGGAAUUACUGGGCGUAAAGUGUGCGCAGGCGGCAAAGCAAGUCGAGUGUGAAAGCCCCGGGCUUAACUUGGGAAUUGCGCUCGAAACUACUUUGCUGGAGUGUGGCAGAGGAAGGUGGAAUUCCACGUGUAGCGGUGAAAUGCGUAGAGAUGUGGAGGAACACCAAUGGCGAAGGCAGCCUUCUGGGCCAACACUGACGCUCAUGCACGAAAGCGUGGGGAGCAAACAGGAUUAGAUACCCUGGUAGUCCACGCCCUAAACGAUGACGACUAGUUGUUGGAGGAGUUAAAUCCUUUAGUACGCAGCUAACGCGCGAAGUCGUCCGCCUGGGGAGUACGGUCGCAGGAUUA
rnacentral:rRNA from 1 species